UUUAGCUGGAAGGCACACGAGCAGGUACAAACAUUUCACCAAGGCAGCAGGGAGUCCUGGGUUUAUCGAGGACAAUAUAUCCUGCAGACACAAAAAAAAGCAACAUUCACACUCUGAGUCUGCGUCCUCAUCUGGUCUUUGGAAGAACCGCACCACCUCCUGACGAGCGCCCUCUGGAACCACAAAAACGGAUUCAGUGAUCCAAGGGCAACGCUGACCAAAACCAUCAUAAACAAGUCUUCCUUCCAGUCUGCUGUGGAUGUUAUGAAUGACACUGUCGGCAGUGAGAGCUGCAAGUCUCUUUACGUCCAAACUUUCCAAUCUGCCACCAUCUUCACAGACCUGAGAUCAGAGGCGAGACAAG